rnacentral:rRNA from 1 species
UGGGGAAUAUUGGACAAUGGGAGAAAGCCUGAUCCAGCCAUGCCGCGUGUGUGAAGAAGGUCUUCGGAUUGUAAAGCACUUUAAGUUGGGAGGAAGGGCAUUAACCUAAUACGUUAGUGUUUUGACGUUACCGACAGAAUAAGCACCGGCUAACUCUGUGCCAGCAGCCGCGGUAAUACAGAGGGUGCAAGCGUUAAUCGGAAUUACUGGGCGUAAAGCGCGCGUAGGUGGUUUGUUAAGUUGGAUGUGAAAUCCCCGGGCUCAACCUGGGAACUGCAUUCAAAACUGACUGACUAGAGUAUGGUAGAGGGUGGUGGAAUUUCCUGUGUAGCGGUGAAAUGCGUAGAUAUAGGAAGGAACACCAGUGGCGAAGGCGACCACCUGGACUAAUACUGACACUGAGGUGCGAAAGCGUGGGGAGCAAACA